rnacentral:misc_RNA from 1 species
AUUUAUUUCUUUUUUUUUAAAGCCACUAGAGAAGUCCAUCAUGUGGCCAUCAGCUGCCCAUCGAUAUAAAAAUAUUCCUUUUGGUCCUUGAAUUAUUCAAAAUCAUAUUUUCUACCCCAAAACUUUUAAAACUUUACUUUUAGGUCUAAAAUUAAAUUAAACUUUUCUCUCCAAAACUUUAUAAAUUAUAUUUCCAUUCAAAAAAUAACCAUAUUUAAUAUUUCUUAAAAAAUUAGGGUGUUACAUUUCUCUCCUCCUAACAUGAAUUUCAUCCUCGAAAUUUCACAACUUAUGGAACCAUAAAGUCUAAUCUAGGGUUACAACACUCAUAAUUAAAUUCUAUGAUAA